rnacentral:rRNA from 1 species
AGGAAAGCAGGGGAUCGCAANCACCUUGNCGCUCUUGGAGCGGCCGAUGUCUGAUUAGCUAGUUGGUGAGGUAAAGGCUUACCAAGGCGACGAUCAGUAGCUGGUCUGAGAGGACGACCAGCCACACUGGGACUGAGACACGGCCCAGACUCCUACGGGAGGCAGCAGUGGGGAAUUUUGGACAAUGGGGGAAACCCUGAUCCAGCCAUGCCGCGUGAGUGAAGAAGGCCUUCGGGUUGUAAAGCUCUUUCAGCCGGAACGAAACGGUCACGGCUAAUACCUGUGAUCACUGACGGUACCGGAAGAAGAAGCACCGGCUAACUACGUGCCAGCAGCCGCGGUAAUACGUAGGGUGCAAGCGUUAAUCGGAAUUACUGGGCGUAAAGCGUGCGCAGGCGGUUUUGUAAGUCAGAUGUGAAAUCCCCGGGCUUAACCUGGGAACUGCGUUUGAAACUACAAGGCU